CCUACGGGGUGCAGCAGUGAGGAAUAUUGGUCAAUGGGCGAGAGCCUGAACCAGCCAAGUCGCGUGAGGGAGUACUGCCCUAUGGGUUGUAAACCUCUUUUGUCGGGGAGCAAAAGCCGGACGUGUCCGGCUGUGAGAGUACCCGAAGAAAAAGCAUCGGCUAACUCCGUUCCAGCAGCCGCGGUAAUACGGAGGAUGCGAGCGUUAUCCGGAUUUAUUGGGUUUAAAGGGUGCGCAGGCGGAUUUUUAAGUCAGCGGUAAAAUCGUGGGGCUCAACCCCAUCCAGCCGUUGAAACUGGGGAUCUAGAGUGUGCGAGAGGUAUGCGGAAUGCGUGGUGUAGCGGUGAAAUGCAUAGAUAUCACGCAGAACCCCGAUUGCGAAGGCAGCAUACCGGUGCACAACUGACGCUCAGGCACGAAAGCGUGGGUAUCGAACAGGAUUAGAUACCCCAGUAGUC
rnacentral:rRNA from 1 species